rnacentral:rRNA from 1 species
GACGAACGCUGGCGGCGUGCCUAACACAUGCAAGUCGAGCGAGGAGAUUCCCUUCGGGGAUGAACCUAGCGGCGGACGGGUGAGUAACACGUGGGCAACCUGCCUUGUAGAGGGGAAUAGCCUUCCGAAAGGAAGAUUAAUACCGCAUAACAUUGCUUUAUCGCAUGGUGAAGCAAUCAAAGGAGCAAUCCGCUACAAGAUGGGCCCGCGGCGCAUUAGCUAGUUGGUGAGGUAACGGCUCACCAAGGCGACGAUGCGUAGCCGACCUGAGAGGGUGAUCGGCCACAUUGGGACUGAGACACGGCCCAAACUCCUACGGGAGGCAGCAGUGGGGAAUAUUGCACAAUGGGGGAAACCCUGAUGCAGCAACGCCGCGUGAAUGAUGAAGGUUUUCGGAUCGUAAAGUUCUGUCUUCAGGGACGAUAAUGACGGUACCUGAGGAGGAAGCCACGGCUAACUACGUGCCAGCAGCCGCGGUAAUACGUAGGUGGCAAGCGUUGUCCGGAUUUACUGGGCGUAAAGGGAGCGUAGGCGGAUUUUUAAGUGAGAUGUGAAAUACUCAGGCUCAACCUGGGGGCUGCAUUUCAAACUGGAAGUCUAGAGUGCAGGAGAGGAGAGUGGAAUUCCUAGUGUAGCGGUGAAAUGCGUAGAUAUUAGGAGGAACACCAGUAGCGAAGGCGGCUUUCUGGACUGUAACUGACACUGAGGCACGAAAGCGUGGGGAGCAAACAGGAUUAGAUACCCUGGUAGUCC